UUCGUUUGACUCAGCGUAAGAGCCUAAGACCGAUUCGGUUUCGCCUACAUCCUCCACUAAACCCUUAUUCCUAGCUUGCAACAUCUCCAAAACACACAACAUUUUAUACCGCACAAGUUUUUCCCGUAACACAUAAAAAGGACAGUUUCGAUUGAUUUGAGGUCGAUCUCAUUCUUCGGUUCUUAAUAUAAUAAAUCAGUAGGUUAACCAAUUGGAUUGGAGCUAGACGGAUCAGUAUGUCCGGUUCGAUUGCACGGUUAAGUAAUCUGUAGAACCUUCCAAAACGCGCGCGUUAAGCAUUAGUUGUCUGUCUGGCUACCCACUGAAGUCUUCAGUGUUCCUCUCUCCUCCUCUCCAAGUAAUCUGGAAAAAACCAAACCUUUUUUCUCGCUUCUUUUUUUCUCUGGAAAAAAAAUAAAUAUUUCUUAUUCAAAACCAGAGAUUCGAUCGAGGUUUUGAUUGAUCGAGAAUUUUUUGGAUUUCCCCGGUAGAUUGAGAAGAAGCUAAAUGGUUGAGGCAGAGCGCCCGGAGAAUCUCUGGAUCGCUUCCAGAAUGCCGUCGUCGUCGUCUCCGGCGGAAACUGAAAGACGUGAUUUUCCGAUCGUAGAUUCCACAACCGGAGCAGUAGAUGUCAGAGGAUUUGGAAACGUAGGGCUGCAAGUAGUUUCCCGGUCUCAGUUGGAGAAGGGCUCGACGGUGGAAAAGCUAGGGUUGACGGAAAGAGUUUUCUCCGCCGCCGGAGCUGCGUUUUUGUCCGCCGUUAUUCUAAAUCCUCUGGAUGUCGUCAAGACUCGGUUGCAAGCUCAAGCUGCUGGAGUUUCUUACUCGCACCCACUCAGUGACGCCAUUGGCCGCAUGGCGUUCUUUGGACCAAACAUGAUGUUUACAGACUUGAGAUGUUCUCCUUCAUGUUCACGCGCUGGUGUUCAUGGUACCGUCUCUAUUUGCCCGCCUGAUUGUUUCCAGUACAAAGGAACGUUUGAUGUCUUCACCAAGAUCAUACGACAGGAGGGCAUGGCACGCCUGUGGAGAGGGACUAAUGCUGGUCUUGCUCUAGCUGUGCCCAUGGUUGGAAUUUAUCUCCCUUUCUACGAUUUGUUCCGCAACCGUUUGGAAGAGUUAUCUCGGGAGAAUGCGCCUGCUACGACAAUAUUUGUGCCUCUUGUGGCAGGGUCUUUGGCACGGUCCCUAGCUUGUACAGUCUGCUAUCCAGUUGAACUUGCUAGAACACGUAUGCAGGCAUUCAAAGAAGCUAAAGCUGGUUUAAAGCCUCCGGGAGUUGUUAAAACACUGGUUGGUGUAGUCUCUGAAGACAGGACAGCAAAUAACCUUCAAAAUAGUUUACUGGAGACUGAAGUUCAUGCCUUUGAUUCCCUUCAUUUGGACCAGACUCAGUUUAUUGCGGAUCGCCUUAUCAAUCAUCUUAACCAGAACAUGCUGAGGCAUAGGACUUUCCCCAUGACGUCUCUUGUUUCUUUCUCUCCACAGCAUAUAGACCGUAAUUUGAAAAGCAUACCUCAGACAGAAGCGCUUCAUUUUCCCCCUUGACGAGACAGAGAUCAGCUCAGUAACUUCAUCCCACUUGUAAGCAUAAGCAUUACCAAGAAUUCCUUUAACCAGCUUCUCCCAAAUUCCAGAAGAGUAAACACACUCAAAGAAGAGUGCACAAUUAUCGUGUUCUCUGGAGAGGCUUGGGUGCACAGCUUGCCCGUGAUGUUCCAUUCUCAGCAAUCUGCUGGGCAACUCUCGAGCCG